AUUUUGGACAAUGGGCGAAAGACUGAUCCAGCAAUGCAGCGUGCAGGAUGAAGGCCUUCGGGUGGUAAACUGCUUUUGAACGGAACGAAAAGUGUUGGGUUAAUACCCUGGGAUCAUGACGGUAACGGAAGAAUAAGCACCGGCUAAAUGCGUGCAGGCAGCGGCGGUAAUACGUAGGGUGCAAGCGUUAAUCGGAAUUACUGGGCGUAAAGCGUGCGCAGGCGGUUUUGUAAGACAGUGGUGAAAUCCCCGGGCUCAACCUGGGAACUGCCAUUGUGACUGCAAGGCUGGAGUGCGGCAGAGGGGGAUGGAAUUCCGCGUGUAGCAGUGAAAUGCGUAGAUAUGCGGAGGAACACCGAUGGCGAAGGCAAUCCCCUGGGCCUGCACUGACGCUCAUGCACGAAAGCGUGGGGAGCAAACAGG
rnacentral:rRNA from 1 species